AUUGAACGCUGGCGGCAGGCCUAACACAUGCAAGUCGAACGAGUGGCGGACGGGUGAGUAAUGUAUGGGAAACUGCCUGAUGGAGGGGGUUAACUACUGGAAAAGGUAGCUAAUACCGCAUACCAUCGGCAGUGCCCAGAUGGGAGUAGCUAGUCGGUGGGGUAACGGCUCACCUAGGCGACGAUCCCGAGCUGGUCUGAGAGGAUGACCAGCCACACUGGAACUGAGACACGGUCCAGGUGCCUACGGGAGGCAGCAGUGGGGAAUAUUGCACAAUGGGCGCAAGCCUGAUGCAGCCAUGCCGCGUGUAUGAAGAAGGCCUUCGGGUUGUAAAGUACUUUCAGCGGGGAGGCGUUACCCGCAGAAGAAGCACCGGCUAACUCCGUGCCAGCAGCCGCGGUAAUUC
rnacentral:rRNA from 1 species